CAGCUUAUAGAGUUUCUACUAUCGUCAGGCUUGAUCAAAGUGCUUCGUACUCCGUCUGGUCCCACUACUUCUCUCUCCAACGCUGAUUUCGACUCUCACAGCGCCGAUUAUAUCAUCCACUGCGUGAAAUCAGGUAACGCUGUAUGAAAUUUUUUAAGCAAACGUCAGAAACAAACAGAAGUGGAGAAAAUAUGAAGUUAAAGAUAUUUGUGCUUUCUUUGGCUUGGCUGCCAAUAAGAUAUAGGAAAAAAUUCAAAACGACAUUACUUACAACUUGGAGAGGGAAAUGAAAGCCUUUUCUUUUCUUCUUCUUCUUUUUUUCAAUCUUUAUUUUGUCAAGGUUUUCUAGAAACCAAACAGAGUUCAGAUUUUUUCUACUGUCUAUCUACAAUUUUCUUUUUCCACUGAACAAAUGUAUUCUUG
rnacentral:lncRNA from 1 species